rnacentral:rRNA from 1 species
UACGAAGGGUGCAAACGUUGCUCGGAAUUAUUGGGCGUAAAGCGCACGUAGGCGGCUAUCUAAGUCGGAUGUGAAAUCCCUCGGCUUAACCAAGGAAGUGCACCCGAAACUGGAUAGCUUGAGUACAGAAGAGGAUCGCGGAAUUCCCGGUGUAGAGGUGAAAUUCGUAGAUAUCGGGAGGAACACCAGUGGCGAAGGCGGCGAUCUGGGCUGAUACUGACGCUGAGGUGCGAAAGCGAGGGGAGCAAACGGG